rnacentral:rRNA from 1 species
GACGAACGCUGGCGGCGUGCUUAACACAUGCAAGUCGAACGGAAAGGCCGUGCUUUUGUGGGGUGCUCGAGUUGCGAACGGGUGAGUAACACGUGAGUAACCUGCCCUUGACUUUGGGAUAACUUCAGGAAACUGGGGCUAAUACCGGAUAGGAGUUCCUGCUGCAUGGUGGGGGUUGGAAAGUUUCGGCGGUUGGGGAUGGACUCGCGGCUUAUCAGCUUGUUGGUGGGGUAGUGGCUUACCAAGGCUUUGACGGGUAGCCGGCCUGAGCGGGUGACCGGCCACAUUGGGACUGAGAUACGGCCCAGACUCCUACGGGAGGCAGCAGUGGGGAAUAUUGCACAAUGGGCGGAAGCCUGAUGCAGCAACGCCGCGUGCGGGAUGACGGCCUUCGGGUUGUAAACCGCUUUCGCCUGUGACGAAGCGUGAGUGACGGUAAUGGGUAAAGAAGCACCGGCUAACUACGUG